CUGAUAUCCACAUCAUAGGAUUCAGAAUUGGAAAAGAACCUCAGGGAUCUUCUGUCACAUUACAGCUACAUCCAAGUCUGGUGCAAGCGGGUGCCCUGAGACAAAGCUCCAAAGGCUCAACCACAGUUACAGCUCUGGCUAAUUUGCAAAAUCACCAUCAGUAAGGAACGCAUCCAUCCCAGAAAUGCUCCAUAGAUGAUCCGCCCAACUUGAAGAAGGAGACCUUCCCUUUAGUUGCUUGCUCUUUGGGGCAUAUGCCAGAAAUAGGAGAUAGAAGAAAGAAAUAGGUGGGUGAAGA